GCCAGGCAUGGUGGCGCAUGUCUGUAAUCCCAGCUACUUGGGAGGCUGAGGCAGGGGGAUCACUUGAACCCAGGAGGCAGAGGUUGCAGUGAGCCCAGAUCAUGCCAUUGCACUCCAGCCUGGGUGACAGAGUGAGACUCCGUCUCAA
ensembl:misc_RNA Metazoa_SRP Metazoan signal recognition particle RNA